AACGAACGCUGGCGGCAGGCCUAACACAUGCAAGUCGAGCGCCCAGCAAUGGGAGCGGCAGACGGGUGAGUAACACGUGGGAACCUUCCCUAUAGUACGGAAUAGCCCAGGGAAACUUGGAGUAAUACCGCAUACGCCCGAGAGGGGAAAGAUUUAUCGCUAUAGGAUGGGCCCGCGUAGGAUUAGCUAGUUGGUGAGGUAAUGGCUCACCAAGGCGACGAUCCUUAGCUGGUCUGAGAGGACGACCAGCCACACUGGGACUGAGACACGGCCCAGACUCCUACGGGAGGCAGCAGUGGGGAAUAUUGGACAAUGGGGCGCAAGCCUGAUCCAGCCAUGCCGCGUGAGUGAUGAAGGCCUUAGGGUUGUAAAGCUCUUUUGCCGGGGGACGAUAAUGACGGUACCCGGAGAAUAAGUCCCGGCUAACUUCGUGCCAGCAGCCGCGGUAAU
rnacentral:rRNA from 1 species